rnacentral:lncRNA from 1 species
CGGGUAGAUAUGUUCACGGUCUUCAGAAUAAGAUCAUUUGUGGGACACUCAGUCCAUUAAUUAGAAAAUUAUCUUCAUCUUGGAUGCGGGGUCUUCUGG